CUCCCUAAACUCACUCUCACCGGCCACAUCUUGUGGCAUUGACAUCUUUUCCCUUUCUCAACCCUUCUGCAGCGACAACCACUGCAAUUACUCAUACACCACUUCUACCACCUGCCUAGACCAUACCACUAGCCUCAAACAAUGCUGCCUCCUCCCAGUCUCUUGCCAUAUCGACUAUGAUCGCCACUGCAAACACCACUUAUCCAGCCAACCCACACCAAGCGUUCCCCGUCGCCAACUCCGCUGCUCACCACCACCAAUCCUCGUCGCCCGACACCUCUCAAAACCAUUAGCCACCACACGACGUUGCUUCAUAACCUUACAUAACCACCCCACCCAACCACCUGUCACCACGACAAGUCCGCAAAUCUGCCUGCCGCCACCAUCUUCCUUGUCUACCUAGAUCGCCCAACUCAGUUAAGUACCAAACUUUGGAGCACAAUCGCCGCAAUCUGCACCUCUACACUUUAAGGUCUAUUAUAACUACAACUCGGUCCUUGCGAGAUUUGGCAUUAAUUGAAGAUGAGUUAAUUGCGCUGCUGUUAUAUACAGAAUACGACGGUGUCAGUGGAAUCUGAAUACCAAGGAGUGAAGAGGAACACAGGUAAUGUAUCUUGA
rnacentral:lncRNA from 1 species